GUAGUUGGGCACGGGCUGUGUCACAUCGUGACACGAUGGGCGCCCGCGUGUUGAAAAUUUGAAUUUUGUCCAUGGGCGUGCGUGUUCGUUCAGAGCAACAUCGACACGAAAAAACACAAACUUUUUUUUUUAUUUAAAUUG